CGUCUGUGGGUGAAUACAGACCUUGGCCGACUAGACGGGAAGGAGCCUCCCUCUGCUGUCAUCCUAAGGAGAUAUUCGUCAGGUGGAUAGUUGUUGCCAUGGCGGUACAGCCCCUGUACUGUGGGCCUUUGGUCAAGAGGGUAAUACAUAACUUUCCCCUGAAGCUGUCUGCCAUGAGAGAGGCCUUCAAUACCCUCCUGAGCAACAAGAAGUUCAUUAACUUCCUCCGUGACUGGAGCAAUGUAACUGGGUGGAUAGGCCAUUGCUGGCAGCAAGAACAGGAGAGAGUUCUACUCCCUCUAUGAAUAACUGCUGAUGUACGCCAGGGAUGAAACAAAUCCUACCUCAAUCGGCCAGGA